AAAUUGAAGAGUUUGAUCAUGGCUCAGAUUGAACGCUGGCGGCAGGCCUAACACAUGCAAGUCGAGCGGAAACGAGUUAUCUGAACCUUCGGGGGACGAUAACGGCGUCGAGCGGCGGACGGGUGAGUAAUGCCUAGGAAAUUGCCCUGAUGUGGGGGAUAACCAUUGGAAACGAUGGCUAAUACCGCAUGAUGCCUACGGGCCAAAGAGGGGGACCUUCGGGCCUCUCGCGUCAGGAUAUGCCUAGGUGGGAUUAGCUAGUUGGUGAGGUAAGGGCUCACCAAGGCGACGAUCCCUAGCUGGUCUGAGAGGAUGAUCAGCCACACUGGAACUGAGACACGGUCCAGACUCCUACGGGAGGCAGCAGUGGGGAAUAUUGCACAAUGGGCGCAAGCCUGAUGCAGCCAUGCCGCGUGUGUGAAGAAGGCCUUCGGGUUGUAAAGCACUUUCAGUCGUGAGGAAGGUAGUGUAGUUAAUAGCUGCAUUAUUUGACGUUAGCGACAGAAGAAGCACCGGCUAACUCCGUGCCAGCAGCCGCGGUAAUACGGAGGGUGCGAGCUGUUAAUCGGAAUUACUGGGCGUAAAGCGCAUGCAGGUGGUUUGUUAAGUCAGAUGUGAAAGCCCGGGGCUCAACCUCGGAAUUGCAUUUGAAACUGGCAGACUAGAGUACUGUAGAGGGGGUAGAAUUUCAGGUGUAGCGGUGAAAUGCGUAGAGAUCUGAAGGAAUACCGGUGGCGAAGGCGGCCCCCUGGACAGAUACUGACACUCAGAUGCGAAAGCGUGGGGAGCAAACAGGAUUAGAUACCCUGGUAGUCCACGCCGUAAACGAUGUCUACUUGGAGGUUGUGGCCUUGAGCCGUGGCUUUCGGAGCUAACGCGUUAAGUAGACCGCCUGGGGAGUACGGUCGCAAGAUUAAAACUCAAAUGAAAUUGACGGGGGCCCGCACAAGCGGUGGAGCAUGUGGUUUAAUUCGAUGCAACGCGAAGAACCUUACCUACUCUUGACAUCCAGAGAACUUUCCAGAGAUGGAUUGGUGCCUUCGGGAACUCUGAGACAGGUGCUGCAUGGCUGUCGUCAGCUCGUGUUGUGAAAAUGUUGGGUUAAGUCCCGCAACGAGCGCAACCCUUAUCCUUGUUUGCCAGCGAGUAAUGUCGGGAACUCCAGGGAGACUGCCGGUGAUAAACCGGAGGAAGGUGGGGACGACGUCAAGUCAUCAUGGCCCUUACGAGUAGGGCUACACACGUGCUACAAUGGCGCAUACAGAGGGCAGCCAACUUGCGAAAGUGAGCGAAUCCCAAAAAGUGCGUCGUAGUCCGGAUUGGAGUCUGCAACUCGACUCCAUGAAGUCGGAAUCGCUAGUAAUCGUGGAUCAGAAUGCCACGGUGAAUACGUUCCCGGGCCUUGUACACACCGCCCGUCACACCAUGGGAGUGGGCUGCAAAAGAAGUAGGUAGUUUAACCUUCGGGGGGACGCUUACCACUUUGUGGUUCAUGACUGGGGUGAAGUCGUAACAAGGUAGCGCUAGGGGAACCUGGCGCUGGAUCACCUCCUUA
rnacentral:rRNA from 1 species